UUUAUAAAUAAACUAACGUGCUUUGAAGACUGGAAGUUGCGAUCAAAAUAAAAAAAAAAUCUUUUCACUCUAAAAAUCAAUUUUUUUUGACGCAUAAAUUAACUUCUAUUCUAUUGGAAAAUAUUUAUUGUCAACUUUGAAUGAAAAAUAAUAGAUCAGAAUUUGAAAAUUAUAAUUAAAAAUUAAUUUAAAAAAAGAGGAUUGAAGUUAUAAAUAGUUGGUGAUAAGAAUAAGUGGACAUUUCAUUGACUGAUAAGGAAUAUAUACUUUGUUGAUUAUAUAUAUAUAAAAAGAAAAGAGAAAGAAUAUAGGAAAAAAAAAUUUCUUCCACUUUUGUCCAAUUGAAUUUUCCAGUUUGUAUUAUAGUAAUCUUAUCGAACUUUUUAUUAACAUGAUUUUAUUUAUAAACUUCUCUCGUGUAAAAUUAAAAUAUUGUUUAGUAGGAUUGAAUUUAUGGAAGAAAAUUUUGAGUCGUGAGAGAAAAUAAAAUUGGGCAAUAAAAAGAAUCUUUAGGGGUAAAAAAAAUGUCGUUUAUAAUUAUAUUUUUGGCCGCAAUUUCCGUCUUCUUCACGUUGAGUCUCAUCUAAAUUAAGAGAUCAAACAAGUAUGUCGGUGUAUAGUUUAUACUCGCCAAAAGUCAUGUCGCAAGUUGAAAACUAUGUGAUUUGAUUCGGCGAUCACGAGUAGAAUCGAGGAAAAAUAAUAAGCAGCGAAUGGAAGUGACCAAUGGAUAUUUUACUUUAUCAGACAAAAAAAAUUUUCUUUCUACUAUUAAUUCGUCAAAAAAAAGGGAAACGAAGAAAUGCUAAUCAAAGCAGAAGUAUUCGAUGAUAGUGACAAUAAUAACGAGUUGAAUAUUAGGAGAAGAAAAAAAAAUAAACGUGCAAGUUAUAACGACGAGUGUUUAUUUCCGAGUGUGUUGUAUUUUAUCAGUCAGGUGUCAUUGUCAUUGUGUAGGAGAGAAAAUAAUAGAAUAUGCAGAUGAGAGAGGAAUUCUCAUCCACCCUUAUAAAGGAAGCUGUGAGUUUACAGUAAAAAUAAAAAAAGAAAAAUCAGCGGAUAGAGGAGAAAUAAAAGGAGACGUGGAUUCGUCUCCUUUUUUUGGCAACUGGAAUGCAGAAUAAGAUGCAAAACUUUGCAAACGUGUUCAAGAAGAAGGCAGGUGACGCGUUUAUAAAAAAAAUGUUUUUUUUCACGUGGGAUGAAAAUCAAUUCCAUUGUUUUUAAAUUCUCCAACACUUCUAAAAAGAAUCGUUACUUUUUAUAUUUUUAGACAAAUAUUUUUCAAAAUUCAGUUAUCGAAAGAAAAAGAAA